UACGUAGGGGGCAAGCGUUGUCCGGAUUUACUGGGCGUAAAGAGCGUGUAGGCGGCCAAACAGGUCCGUUGUGAAAACUCGAGGCUCAACCUCGAGACGUCGAUGGAAACCGUAUGGCUAGAGUCCGGAAGAGGAGAGUGGAAUUCCUGGUGUAGCGGUGAAAUGCGCAGAUAUCAGGAAGAACACCCGUGGCGAAGGCGGCUCUCUGGGACGGUACUGACGCUGAGACGCGAAAGCGUGGGGAGCGAACAGG
rnacentral:rRNA from 1 species